GGUUAAGCGACUAAGCGUACACGGUGGAUGCCCUGGCAGUCAGAGGCGAUGAAGGACGUGCUAAUCUGCGAUAAGCGUCGGUAAGGUGAUAUGAACCGUUAUAACCGGCGAUUUCCGAAUGGGGAAACCCAGUGUGUUUCGACACACUAUCAUUAACUGAAUCCAUAGGUUAAUGAGGCGAACCGGGGGAACUGAAACAUCUAAGUACCCCGAGGAAAAGAAAUCAACCGAGAUUCCCCCAGUAGCGGCGAGCGAACGGGGAGCAGCCCAGAGCCUGAAUCAGUGUGUGUGUUAGUGGAAGCGUCUGGAAAGGCGCGCGAUACAGGGUGACAGCCCCGUACACAAAAAUGCACAUGCUGUGAGCUCGAUGAGUAGGGCGGGACACGUGGUAUCCUGUCUGAAUAUGGGGGGACCAUCCUCCAAGGCUAAAUACUCCUGACUGACCGAUAGUGAACCAGUACCGUGAGGGAAAGGCGAAAAGAACCCCGGCGAGGGGAGUGAAAAAGAACCUGAAACCGUGUACGUACAAGCAGUGGGAGCACAGAGCAAUCUGUGUGACUGCGUACCUUUUGUAUAAUGGGUCAGCGACUUAUAUUCUGUAGCAAGGUUAACCGAAUAGGGGAGCCGAAGGGAAACCGAGUCUUAACUGGGCGUUAAGUUGCAGGGUAUAGACCCGAAACCCGGUGAUCUAGCCAUGGGCAGGUUGAAGGUUGGGUAACACUAACUGGAGGACCGAACCGACUAAUGUUGAAAAAUUAGCGGAUGACUUGUGGCUGGGGGUGAAAGGCCAAUCAAACCGGGAGAUAGCUGGUUCUCCCCGAAAGCUAUUUAGGUAGCGCCUCGUGAAUUCAUCUCCGGGGGUAGAGCACUGUUUCGGCAAGGGGGUCAUCCCGACUUACCAACCCGAUGCAAACUGCGAAUACCGGAGAAUGUUAUCACGGGAGACACACGGCGGGUGCUAACGUCCGUCGUGAAGAGGGAAACAACCCAGACCGCCAGCUAAGGUCCCAAAGUCAUGGUUAAGUGGGAAACGAUGUGGGAAGGCCCAGACAGCCAGGAUGUUGGCUUAGAAGCAGCCAUCAUUUAAAGAAAGCGUAAUAGCUCACUGGUCGAGUCGGCCUGCGCGGAAGAUGUAACGGGGCUAAACCAUGCACCGAAGCUGCGGCAGCGACACUAUGUGUUGUUGGGUAGGGGAGCGUUCUGUAAGCCUGUGAAGGUGUACUGUGAGGUAUGCUGGAGGUAUCAGAAGUGCGAAUGCUGACAUAAGUAACGAUAAAGCGGGUGAAAAGCCCGCUCGCCGGAAGACCAAGGGUUCCUGUCCAACGUUAAUCGGGGCAGGGUGAGUCGACCCCUAAGGCGAGGCCGAAAGGCGUAGUCGAUGGGAAACAGGUUAAUAUUCCUGUACUUGGUGUUACUGCGAAGGGGGGACGGAGAAGGCUAUGUUGGCCGGGCGACGGUUGUCCCGGUUUAAGCGUGUAGGCUGGUUUUCCAGGCAAAUCCGGAAAAUCAAGGCUGAGGCGUGAUGACGAGGCACUACGGUGCUGAAGCAACAAAUGCCCUGCUUCCAGGAAAAGCCUCUAAGCAUCAGGUAACAUCAAAUCGUACCCCAAACCGACACAGGUGGUCAGGUAGAGAAUACCAAGGCGCUUGAGAGAACUCGGGUGAAGGAACUAGGCAAAAUGGUGCCGUAACUUCGGGAGAAGGCACGCUGAUAUGUAGGUGAAGCGACUUGCUCGUGGAGCUGAAAUCAGUCGAAGAUACCAGCUGGCUGCAACUGUUUAUUAAAAACACAGCACUGUGCAAACACGAAAGUGGACGUAUACGGUGUGACGCCUGCCCGGUGCCGGAAGGUUAAUUGAUGGGGUCAGCGCAAGCGAAGCUCUUGAUCGAAGCCCCGGUAAACGGCGGCCGUAACUAUAACGGUCCUAAGGUAGCGAAAUUCCUUGUCGGGUAAGUUCCGACCUGCACGAAUGGCGUAAUGAUGGCCAGGCUGUCUCCACCCGAGACUCAGUGAAAUUGAACUCGCUGUGAAGAUGCAGUGUACCCGCGGCAAGACGGAAAGACCCCGUGAACCUUUACUAUAGCUUGACACUGAACAUUGAGCCUUGAUGUGUAGGAUAGGUGGGAGGCUUGGAAGUGUGGACGCCAGUCUGCAUGGAGCCGACCUUGAAAUACCACCCUUUAAUGUUUGAUGUUCUAACGUUGACCCGUAAUCCGGGUUGCGGACAGUGUCUGGUGGGUAGUUUGACUGGGGCGGUCUCCUCCUAAAGAGUAACGGAGGAGCACGAAGGUUGGCUAAUCCUGGUCGGACAUCAGGAGGUUAGUGCAAUGGCAUAAGCCAGCUUGACUGCGAGCGUGACGGCGCGAGCAGGUGCGAAAGCAGGUCAUAGUGAUCCGGUGGUUCUGAAUGGAAGGGCCAUCGCUCAACGGAUAAAAGGUACUCCGGGGAUAACAGGCUGAUACCGCCCAAGAGUUCAUAUCGACGGCGGUGUUUGGCACCUCGAUGUCGGCUCAUCACAUCCUGGGGCUGAAGUAGGUCCCAAGGGUAUGGCUGUUCGCCAUUUAAAGUGGUACGCGAGCUGGGUUUAGAACGUCGUGAGACAGUUCGGUCCCUAUCUGCCGUGGGCGCUGGAGAACUGAGGGGGGCUGCUCCUAGUACGAGAGGACCGGAGUGGACGCAUCACUGGUGUUCGGGUUGUCAUGCCAAUGGCACUGCCCGGUAGCUAAAUGCGGAAGAGAUAAGUGCUGAAAGCAUCUAAGCACGAAACUUGCCCCGAGAUGAGUUCUCCCUGACCCUUUAAGGGUCCUGAAGGAACGUUGAAGACGACGACGUUGAUAGGCCGGGUGUGUAAGCGCAGCGAUGCGUUGAGCUAACCGGUACUAAUGAACCGUGAGGCUUAACCUU
rnacentral:rRNA from 1 species